UGCAGUUUGCCUUGGCCUCUGUUUUGUGCUC
rnacentral:piRNA from 1 species